GGGAUGAACGCUGGCGGCGUGCUUAACACAUGCAAGUCGAACGAUGAAGGCUGGAGCUUGCUCUGGCUGGAUUAGUGGCGAACGGGUGAGUAACACGUGAGUAACCUGCCCCAGACUCUGGGAUAAGCGCUGGAAACGGCGUCUAAGUACCGGAUACGAGCUUCCACCGCAUGGUGAGGAGCUAGGAAAGAAUUUCGGUCUGGGAUGGACUCGCGGCCUAUCAGCUUGUUGGUGAGGUAAUGGCUCACCAAGGCGACGACGGUAGCCGGCCGUGAGGAGGGUCGACCGGCCACGACGUGGACUGAGACACCGGCCAGCUCCGACGGGAGCAGCUAGGUGGGAAUAGUGACACGAAGUCGGGCGACG
rnacentral:rRNA from 1 species